rnacentral:rRNA from 1 species
CGCCUCUUGCUAAAAUAUAAGAGGUCCCGCCUGCCCUGUGACUUAGUUUAACGGCCGCGGUAUCUUAACCGUGCAAAGGUAGCACAAUCAAUUGUCCCUUAAAUAGGGACUAGUAUGAAUGGCAUCACGAGGGCUUAACUGUCUCCCCUCUUUAAUCAAUGAAACUGAUUUCCCCGUGAAGAAGCGGGGAUAAAACUAUAAGACGAGAAGACCCCAUGGAGCUUCAAACUCAUCACCACCUAUUUAACAAACAUAUCAUAUAACUCACUAGGCCUGUUCUGAUAGUUUUUGGUUGGGGUGACCCUGGAGUAUAAUAAACCCUCCAGAACGACAAGAAUUAAUUAUUCUUAUCCAAGAGCUACAACUCUAAGAAUCAAAUAUUUGACGUCAUUGACCCACUAAGUGAUCAACGAACCAAGUUACCCUGGGGAUAACAGCGCAAUCCAUUUCAAGAGUCCCUAUCGACAAAUGGGUUUACGACCUCGAUGUUGGAUCGGGGUACCCCAGUGGCGCAGCCGCUACUAAAGGUUCGUUUGUUCAACGAUUAAUAACCCC